rnacentral:rRNA from 1 species
AGUCACGCUGUAAACGAUGUCGAUUUGGAGGUUGUUCCCUUGAGGAGUGGCUUCCGGAGCUAACGCGUUAAAUCGACCGCCUGGGGAGUACGGCCGCAAGGUUAAAACUCAAAUGAAUUGACGGGGGCCCGCACAAGCGGUGGAGCAUGUGGUUUAAUUCGAUGCAACGCGAAGAACCUUACCUACUCUUGACAUCCAGAGAAUUUAGCAGAGAUGCUUUAGUGCCUUCGGGAACUCUGAGACAGGUGCUGCAUGGCUGUCGUCAGCUCGUGUUGUGAAAUGUUGGGUUAAGUCCCGCAACGAGCGCAACCCUUAUCCUUUGUUGCCAGCACAUUAUGGUGGGAACUCAAAGGAGACUGCCGGUGAUAAACCGGAGGAAGGUGGGGAUGACGUCAAGUCAUCAUGGCCCUUACGAGUAGGGCUACACACGUGCUACAAUGGCGUAUACAAAGAGAAGCGACCUCGCGAGAGCAAGCGGAACUCAUAAAGUACGUCGUAGUCCGGAUUGGAGUCUGCAACUCGACUCCAUGAAGUCGGAAUCGCUAGUAAUCGUAGAUCAGAUGCUACGGUGAAUACGUUCCCGGGCCUUGUACACACCGCCCGUCACACCAUGGGAGUGGGUUGCAAAAGAAGUAGGUAGCUUAACCUUCGGGAGGGCGCUUACCACUUUGUGAUUCAUGACUGGGGUGAAGUCGUAACAAGGUAACCA